UUUCCGUAGGUGAGCCUGCGGAAGGAUCAUUAAAGUUAUAGUCCCCCGGCCCCUCCGGGCUGGGGUCUUCUAUACCACCCUUUGUUUAUUACACCUUUGUUGCUUUGGCAGGCCUGCCCUCGGGCUGCUGGCUCCGGCCGGCUCGUGCCUGCCAGAGGACCUAAACUCUGUUUGUAUAUGAAGUCUGAGUACUAUAUAAUAGUUAAAACUUUCAACAACGGAUCUCUUGGUUCUG
rnacentral:misc_RNA from 1 species